CAGAACUGAGCUGAACUGAAGUUUUGGGUUUUUGCUUCAUUACUAUUUUGCUUUAUUUGCUUUAUUACUAUUUUGGGAUUUUGCUUUACUACUAUUUAUAAGUUAUUUUCACUUAAGAAUUUCUUUUAUUUGCUUCUGAAGGGAAAUCCUCUAAUUGUCUACCUUUGGUGCAGAGCUAUAACGUCCUUUCCAUGAAAUGGGAUCGACCUCGUCUCUCCUCCUGAAGGUCGGGAGCUUUCUGAAGUGUAUGAAUGUGUCGAAGAGGUCACGAACUCACCUUUCUUCUGCUUGGGAAUCUGAGGCUGGAGUGUUUUUAUUUGUCAAAUUCUGGUGAUAGACCUUGGCUGGGGUAUUCUGUUCCCAGAGCUCGAAGAUAAAUGGAUAAGCUCAUGUCAUUGGGUCUCUGUUGUCACAGCACACUGGACAUUGCAUUCAGUAGAAUCCCUUGAUGGAAACCAAAUGAGAAUCCUGAGGUGAAAGACAACCAAGAGGAGGAGGAUAAUCUUGGCUCCAACCCCAGGACGGAUGGGGAACAACAGAGAAAGGGUAUUUCCGGACCAGCAAAUGAGUUCCCAGAAGCAGGUGGAGAAGGAAUGUGGACCCCGGGGAGGAACAGAGCAGAGCAGACAUUCCACAUUCCCCGCUGCUGAGGCGACAGUCAGACUUUUCACUCACAGGGUGCCCAGGGCCAACUCACACCCCACGUGGCCUUAGUCUCGAGCAGCCCAUCUCCUGCCCAGCCCAAGUGGAGCCCAUGGGUACUGGACACCCCUAGGGGGCGCCAUUCCUGGCAGAGCCCUGGGGAACCAGAACCUUGGGCUUGUGCUGUGGGCACCCUGCACUUUGCUACCCCUGGCCUCUUUGGCUCCCUUGACCUCCUUGCUCUUAUACUAAUCCUAUUAACAAUCCACAGGCCUUUUGGUCCUCCCUGCUCAGCACAACCAGAAUAAGGGGGCUUUCAGGAGACAGGCCUGUUGGGGCCCCAUCAGGAGGACCCUGUCCUGAAGCCAUCAGCUCCCAAGACCGUGGGGGCUGUCAGGGGCUGCCACCCUCUCAGGUGUCACCUGCUCCACUGUCCUCCCCCGGCGGGUGCGCUGGCCUCCCGAGAGUCUGGAUGGACUCCAGGCUGUCACGAUGACAUGGUAAUUGCACUCAUCUAGUAGAGCUAGAUCUGCCGAGAACAAUACGGG
rnacentral:lncRNA from 1 species